rnacentral:rRNA from 1 species
GGGUCAGUAGGUUGGUCGUGCCACCGGUACGUACUGGUCUCACUGAUUCCUCCUUCCUGAAGAACCUUAAUGCCAUUAAUUUGGUGUUGCGGGGAAACAGGACUGUUACCUUGAAUAAAUUAGAGUGUUUAAAGCAAGCUAACGCUUGAAUACAUUAGCAUGGAAUAAUGAAAUAGGACGUUCGAUCCUAUUUUGUUGGUUUCUAGGAUUGACGUA